GAGACCCGUAUUUUAUUUCCAUAAUUCUUUAUGUUUUAUGAAGGCAUGAGUUGUGAUAUAAAAUGGAGAAUGAGUUCGGAUGUCGAAUGUGCUAGAAUUUAGAAGUUCGGGAUGCAAGUGUAAUAUGCAUGGGUGUAUAAGUGAAGGUGUGUGUAGGGGAUAAUUUUCCCCCCACCUAUAUUUCUUUUCUUUUCCGGGCCACACACACACGUUUCUCUCUCUCUACUCUCUCGGCCGACUCUCUCUCUUUCUCACCUCUCCUCCAAACUUCUCUCUUCGAUUUCAUCGCCUUAGAAUGAGAUUUCGGAAAAAUCCCAAGUACUAAAGUUGUUCUACGAGACGAGAUCUUCCUAUCGAUCGAAGAAGAAUCAUGAUCGGAGCACUUUGAGGUUUCCUCCAUGUUCGGGCUUGCUUCUAACGUACUCGCCAUUCGCCAUGAAACUUAGCUUGGAUUGCAUGGAGUGCACAUUGAGACGUCCGUUGAGAGCUUCAUUGGAAUCAUGAAGGAGGUGUUUUAUCAUCUAGUCUAAUUCAUGUUGUGUACUUUACUCACAAUUGAAGGUUGUAUCUUUUGGUUAGAACAUAUGUAAAGCUAGGUAUAAACUCCUCUCUUUGAUUAUUGUGAAGACCUUUUAAUGGAAUACGUUUGGGAGACUUUAUGUAAAAAAAAAAAUUUAGAGAGAAGAAGAGACUUUGAUUCUUUGUU